GGGUGAGUAAUGCCUAGGAAUUGCCCUGAUGUGGGGGAUAACCAUUGGAAACGAUGGCUAAUACCGCAUAAUGCCUACGGGCCAAAGAGGGGGACCUUCGGGCCUCUCGCGUCAGGAUAUGCCUAGGUGGGAUUAGCUAGUUGGUGAGGUAAUGGCUCACCAAGGCGACGAUCCCUAGCUGGUCUGAGAGGAUGAUCAGCCACACUGGAACUGAGACACGGUCCAAACUCAUACGGGAGGCAGCAGUGGGGAAUAUUGCACAAUGGGCGCAAGCCUGAUGCAGCCAUGCCGCGUGUGUGAAGAAGGCCUUCGGGUUGUAAAGCACUUUCAGUCGUGAGGAAGGUGGUGUAGUUAAUAGCUGUAUUAUUUGACGUUAGCGACAGAAGAAGCACCGGCUAACUCCGUGCCAGCAGCCGCGGUAAUACGGAGGGUGCGAGCGUUAAUCGGAAUUACUGGGCGUAAAGCGCAUGCGGGUGGUUUGUUAAGUCAGAUGUGAAAGCCCGGGGCUCAACCUCGGAAUAGCAUUUGAAACUGGCAGACUAGAGUACUGUAGAGGGGGGUAGAAUUUCAGGUGUAGCGGUGAAAUGCGUAGAGAUCUGAAGGAAUACCGGUGGCGAAGGCGGCCCCCUGGACAGAUACUGACACUCAGAUGCGAAAGCGUGGGGAGCAAACAGGAUUAGAUACCCUGGUAGUCCACGCCGUAAACGAUGUCUACUUGGAGGUUGUGGCCUUGAGCCGUGGCUUUCGGAGCUAACGCGUUAAGUAGACCGCCUGGGGAGUACGGUCGCAAGAUUAAAACUCAAAUGAAUUGACGGGGGCCCGCACAAGCGGUGGAGCAUGUGGUUUAAUUCGAUGCAACGCGAAGAACCUUACCUACUCUUGACAUCCAGAGAACUUUCCAGAGAUGGAUUGGUGCCUUCGGGAACUCUGAGACAGGUGCUGCAUGGCUGUCGUCAGCUCGUGUUGUGAAAUGUUGGGUUAAGUCCCGCAACGAGCGCAACCCUUAUCCUUGUUUGCCAGCGAGUAAUGUCGGGAACUCCAGGGAGACUGCCGGUGAUAAACCGGAGGAAGGUGGGGACGACGUCAAGUCAUCAUGGCCCUUACGAGUAGGGCUACACACGUGCUACAAUGGCGCAUACAGAGGGCAGCAAGCUAGCGAUAGUGAGCGAAUCCCAAAAAGUGCGUCGUAGUCCGGAUUGGAGUCUGCAACUCGACUCCAUGAAGUCGGAAUCGCUAGUAAUCGUGGAUCAGAAUGCCACGGUGAAUACGU
rnacentral:rRNA from 1 species